rnacentral:rRNA from 1 species
CGGGACACGUGGUAUCCUGUCUGAAUAUGGGGGGACCAUCCUCCAAGGCUAAAUACUCCUGACUGACCGAUAGUGAACCAGUACCGUGAGGGAAAGGCGAAAAGAACCCCGGCGAGGGGAGUGAAAAAGAACCUGAAACCGUGUACGUACAAGCAGUGGGAGCACGCUUAGGCGUGUGACUGCGUACCUUUUGUAUAAUGGGUCAGCGACUUAUAUUCUGUAGCAAGGUUAACCGAAUAGGGGAGCCGAAGGGAAACCGAGUCUUAACUGGGCGUUAAGUUGCAGGGUAUAGACCCGAAACCCGGUGAUCUAGCCAUGGGCAGGUUGAAGGUUGGGUAACACUAACUGGAGGACCGAACCGACUAAUGUUGAAAAAUUAGCGGAUGACUUGUGGCUGGGGGUGAAAGGCCAAUCAAACCGGGAGAUAGCUGGUUCUCCCCGAAAGCUAUUUAGGUAGCGCCUCGUGAAUUCAUCUCCGGGGGUAGAGCACUGUUUCGGCAAGGGGGUCAUCCCGACUUACCAACCCGAUGCAAACUGCGAAUACCGGAGAAUGUUAUCACGGGAGACACACGGCGGGUGCUAACGUCCGUCGUGAAGAGGGAAACAACCCAGACCGCCAGCUAAGGUCCCAAAGUCAUGGUUAAGUGGGAAACGAUGUGGGAAGGCCCAGACAGCCAGGAUGUUGGCUUAGAAGCAGCCAUCAUUUAAAGAAAGCGUAAUAGCUCACUGGUCGAGUCGGCCUGCGCGGAAGAUGUAACGGGGCUAAACCAUGCACCGAAGCUGCGGCAGCGACGCUUAUGCGUUGUUGGGUAGGGGAGCGUUCUGUAAGCCUGCGAAGGUGUGCUGUGAGGCAUGCUGGAGGUAUCAGAAGUGCGAAUGCUGACAUAAGUAACGAUAAAGCGGGUGAAAAGCCCGCUCGCCGGAAGACCAAGGGUUCCUGUCCAACGUUAAUCGGGGCAGGGUGAGUCGACCCCUAAGGCGAGGCCGAAAGGCGUAGUCGAUGGGAAACAGGUUAAUAUUCCUGUACUUGGUGUUACUGCGAAGGGGGGACGGAGAAGGCUAUGUUGGCCGGGCGACGGUUGUCCCGGUUUAAGCGUGUAGGCUGGUUUUCCAGGCAAAUCCGGAAAAUCAAGGCUGAGGCGUGAUGACGAGGCACUACGGUGCUGAAGCAACAAAUGCCCUGCUUCCAGGAAAAGCCUCUAAGCAUCAGGUAACAUCAAAUCGUACCCCAAACCGACACAGGUGGUCAGGUAGAGAAUACCAAGGCGCUUGAGAGAACUCGGGUGAAGGAACUAGGCAAAAUGGUGCCGUAACUUCGGGAGAAGG